UAAUCAGAAAGCCACGGCUAACUACGUGCCAGCAGCCGCGGUAAUACGUAGGGGGCAAGCGUUAUCCGGAAUUAUUGGGCGUAAAGCGCGCGUAGGCGGUUUUUUAAGUCUGAUGUGAAAGCCCAGGGCUCAACCGGGGAGGGGCAUUGGAAACUGGAAAACUUGAGUGCAGAAGAGGAAAGUGGAAUUCCAUGUGUAGCGGUGAAAUGCGCAGAGAUAUGGAGGAACACCAGUGGCGAAGGCGACUUUCUGGUCUGUAACUGACGCUGAUGUGCGAAAGCGUGGGGAUCAAACAGGAUUAGAUACCCUGGUAGUCCACGCCGUAAACGAUGAGUGCUAAGUGUUAGGGGGUUUCCGCCCCUUAG
rnacentral:rRNA from 1 species